AUUCUGAGUGUGUCAGCUGUGCUGUGAGGUCGUUUUACCGGAGGCUUCGCAAACUCUGCCGGAGGAUCUUUUUUUCUGAGAAUCUUGGAGUUUGAUAGCAGUGCAACUUAUGAGUACCUGUAUAUUGAUGAAGCAGGCUUCAAUCUUCAAAAAAAAGAGAGACAUGUGAUUUGGCCAUUGUGCUACAAUCAAUGUCCCUGAACAACAAGGAGGCAACCUCACUCUCUGUGCAGCAAUUUCUACAACUGGUGUUGUGGCACACAAUGCUUUCUUGGGACCAUACAAGCGAGAGUGGUUUUCAGAAUAACCCACAAUUCAGGAUGGUGUUUCUUCCACCAUAUUCUCCUUUCCUGAAUCCAAUUGAGGAAUUCUUUUCUUGGAGAUAGAAAGUACAUGAUCGCAACCCUUACAACCAAGUCAGUUUUCAAGUGAUGGAAGAGGCCUGUGGAGAUAUUGGGGCAUGGGUAUGUCAAGGAUUGAUACAGCAUUCAAGGCGUUUUUCCCCCGAUGCAUGACUUUCAUGAAAUUUAUUCAAUGAAUGCAGUACAUUUAUCACUUUAUUUUUUUUUUUAUUUACCCAUGUACUUAUUUGCAUUAUAUUUGUGUAUGUGGGGUGACAACUUGUUAUACAGUACACCUUAACUCCUCAUUAAAGAACUCGAUGAAAAACCUGUA